GUAAACUUGCUAGAAGAUGACGAGUGGCGGACGGGUGAGUAAUGCUUGGGAACUUGCCUUUAGGAGGGGGAUAACAGUUGGAAACGACUGCUAAUACCGCAUAAUGUCUACGGACCAAAGGGGGCUUCGGCUCUCACCUAAAGAGAGGCCCAAGUGAGAUUAGCUAGUUGGUAAGGUAAAAGCUUACCAAGGCGACGAUCUCUAGCUGUUCUGAGAGGAAGAUCAGCCACACUGGGACUGAGACACGGCCCAGACUCCUACGGGAGGCAGCAGUGGGGAAUAUUGCACAAUGGGGGAAACCCUGAUGCAGCCAUGCCGCGUGUGUGAAGAAGGCCUUCGGGUUGUAAAGCACUUUCAGUUGUGAGGAAAGGUUGGUAGUUAAUACCUGCCAGCUGUGACGUUAACAACAGAAGAAGCACCGGCUAACUCCGUGCCAGCAGCCGCGGUAAUACGGAGGGUGCGAGCGUUAAUCGGAAUUACUGGGCGUAAAGCGCACGCAGGCGGUUUGUUAAGCUAGAUGUGAAAGCCCCGGGCUCAACCUGGGAUGGUCAUUUAGAACUGGCAGACUAGAGUCUUGGAGAGGGGAGUGGAAUUCCAGGUGUAGCGGUGAAAUGCGUAGAUAUCUGGAGGAACAUCAGUGGCGAAGGCGGCUCCCUGGCCAAAGACUGACGCUCAUGUGCGAAAGUGUGGGUAGCGAACAGGAUUAGAUACCCCUGGUAGUCCACACCGUUAAACGCUGUCUACUA
rnacentral:rRNA from 1 species